GUAGCUCUGCUUCACUCUAUUUAACACAACACAACACACUUCAAUGCUACUAGACCCUUUCACCCACUCAAACUACUCCACUGCAUUUGCCGAUAGAUAAGAUCCAUCGCUUUUGCUUCUUCAGUUUGACAUAGAGAUGGCAUCAGUGCAUGCCAAUGUGACAUCAGUUGUUUGCAAAAAUGGCAACCAUGCUUCGCAGACCAAGUUCCCGAGUACUGCAUUCUUGCCUGGGUUUGAUGUUGUUGGGCGUGCUCCAAGUGCUUGGAAGAAGGAACUUGUUCCGUUUUCCAUGGCUUUGGUACCUAGAGCCACAUUGACAUUUGAUCCUCCAAGUACUAAUGCAGACAAAGCCAAACAAAAGAAGCACACAGUUGACCCUGCUUCUCCUGAUUUCCUUCCUCUUCCUUCCUUUGAACAGUGCUUCCCAAAGAGCACAAAAGAACACAGGGAAGUCAUUCAUGAAGAAACUGGUCAUGUGCUCAAAGUUCCCUUUCGACGAGUUCACCUGGCUGGGGAGGAACCACACUUUGAUACCUAUGACACUAGUGGUCCCCAAAAUCUUAGCCCAAGGAUAGGACUCCCAAAAUUGCGUGAAGAGUGGGUUGAUAGAAGACAGAAAAGCAGUCCUCCAAGAUUCACUCAGAUGUACUUUGCUAAGCAGGGAAUCAUUACUGAGGAGAUGCUUUACUGUGCUGCUCGUGAGAAGCUCGACCCAGAGUUUGUGAGGUCAGAAGUUGCUCGUGGACGAGCUAUCAUCCCUUCCAACAAGAAGCACUUGGAGUUAGAGCCCAUGAUAGUUGGAAGAAACUUUUUGGUGAAAGUAAAUGCCAAUAUUGGAAAUUCUGCAGUUGCAAGCUCUAUAGAAGAGGAAGUUUACAAGGUUCAGUGGGCAACUAUGUGGGGAGCUGAUACAGUCAUGGAUCUCUCAACUGGUCGCCACAUCCAUGAAACUCGAGAGUGGAUCUUACGCAACUCUGCUGUACCGGUUGGGACUGUACCUAUUUAUCAAGCACUUGAGAAAGUUAAUGGAAUUGCUGAAGAUCUUAGUUGGGAGGUUUUCAGGGAUACCCUGAUUGAACAAGCUGAACAGGGUGUAGAUUACUUCACUAUCCAUGCAGGAGUUCUUCUGAGAUAUAUUCCUUUAACAGCAAAACGCAUGACAGGAAUAGUCUCCAGAGGAGGAUCCAUUCAUGCAAAAUGGUGCUUAGCUUAUCACAAAGAGAAUUUUGCAUAUGAGCACUGGGAUGACAUACUUGACAUCUGCAAUCAGUAUGAUGUGGCUCUAUCCAUUGGUGAUGGGUUAAGACCGGGAUCCAUCUAUGAUGCAAAUGAUACAGCUCAAUUUGCUGAGCUCUUGACACAAGGGGAACUGACCCGAAGAGCAUGGGAGAAGGAUGUCCAGGUGAUGAAUGAAGGACCUGGGCAUGUUCCAAUGCACAAGAUUCCCGAAAAUAUGCAGAAACAACUAGAAUGGUGUAAUGAAGCUCCAUUCUACACUCUUGGUCCUUUAACAACUGAUAUUGCCCCUGGUUAUGAUCAUAUCACCUCUGCUAUUGGUGCUGCGAAUAUUGGGGCACUUGGCACAGCUCUUCUGUGUUAUGUGACUCCAAAAGAACAUCUUGGGUUGCCAAAUCGGGACGAUGUGAAGACUGGUGUUAUAGCUUAUAAAAUAGCUGCUCAUGCUGCUGAUUUAGCCAAAGGUCAUCCACAUGCUCAAGAAUGGGAUGAUGCGUUAAGCAAGGCAAGGUUUGAAUUUCGAUGGAUGGACCAGUUUGCUUUGUCAUUGGAUCCAAUGACAGCCAUGUCCUUCCAUGAUGAAUCGUUGCCAUCAGAAGGUGCAAAGGUAGCACAUUUCUGCUCAAUGUGUGGUCCUAAAUUCUGCUCUAUGAAAAUAACUGAAGAUGUGAGGAAGUAUGCUGAGAAACAUGGCUAUGGGACUGCUGAGGAAGCGUUGCUGCGUGGAAUGGAUGCUAUGAGUGCUGAAUUUCAAUCUGCCAAAAAAACCGUCAGCGGGGAACAACAUGGUGAAGCUGGUGGAGAGAUUUACUUGCCAGCAUCUUACUUGAGUUCCAAGGAGAAGCAACUCAAGCAAGGCUAAAUAUAUUGUAUUACUUUUUAAAUAAGGACUAUAUAAAUGGUGCAAAUCACUUGAGAGAACUUGGAGCUAGCUGCAGCUGUACAACUUGCCUAUCAGGAUCAGGAUGGUGAACUAUUUUCAAGCUAUAGGAGAUAAAACUUCAGGGUGCCUGAAUCUGCUUGAGCUUUGGCUAAUAAGCUGGAAAGCUAGCAGAUCAGGCUGAGACAGUCCCUUUGAACCUGAUCAGGGUGAUGCCUGCGUAGGGAGAGUGCACUUUCCUUUUUAUGCUUCUGCAGGAACUAUGCAUGAUAUGUACUAAUUCUCCUGGGUAGCGGAUUCAGCAUGUCGGUUUUCCCAAUUGUUCACGGUUGGGAAGUAGCUGGAAGAAUAUCCUAUGCGAUAUCAAUCAUUAGUGGACUAUACUAUUGUUGAUAUAUAUAGAUCCUGUUUGGAUAUGGAUCGGGCUAAAAGAGCACUUAGUGGAGCUUAUGUACUAAAAAAAGUACUGAAUAAGCUUCAAUAAGUGCUUUGUUCCGAAUACAAACAUGCCAUAGUCAGAUCUUAUAAUGCAGCAUAAAAUAUGCUCAAACCUCACAUAACCAUGCCCUUUGUGAAAGGUAAGGUUCACUAAUAGAACUUACAGAAAGGAACUUAGUCCUGCAUGUCAAAUUUAUAUACAAUUGUUUUACUAAGUUCAUAUUGUGGAUUAAUAUCCAAUUUUGAUGCGGUGAAUUGAAAACAAAA